rnacentral:rRNA from 1 species
GACGAACGCUGGCGGCGUGCUUAACACAUGCAAGUCGUACGGUGAAGCGCCUUCCUUUUUGGUGGGUGUGGAUGAGUGGCGAACGGGUGAGUAACACGUGAGUAACCUGCCCCCUUCUUCUGGAUAACCGCAUGAAAGUGUGGCUAAUACGGGAUAUUCUGGGUCUGUCGCAUGAUGGGUCUGGGAAAGAUAUUGUUUCGGUGGGGGAUGGGCUCGCGGCCUAUCAGCUUGUUGGUGGGGUGAUGGCCUACCAAGGCGGUGACGGGUAGCCGGCCUGAGGGGGUGGACGGUCACACUGGGACUGAGGCCCGGCCCAGACUCAUACGGGGGGCAGCAGUGGGGAAUAUUGCGCAAUGGGCGCAAGCCUGAUGCGGCGACGCCGCGUGAGGGAUGAAGGCGUUCGGGUUGUGAACCUCUUUCGCCAGUAAAGCAGGCCUGCCUCGUUUGUGGGUGGGUUGACGGUAGCUGGAUAAGAAGCGCCGGCUAACUACGUG